GGGCCCGUGGCUUAGAUUGGUUAUAGCGUCCGGCUGAUAACCGGGAGGUCCUGAGUUCAAAUCUCAGCGGGCCCACCA
rnacentral:tRNA from 1 species